GUUCAAUACUGACGCCGGGUGCGGCCGCGCCGGGCACUGUGUGUGUUGGCUUAUUUUUAGGUGUGAUGUAGAGUAAGCAGCGAGAAGAUAAGGAUUUUUGAUCAUCCCUCGAGAUAUAUCACGCGCCCCGCCGUGAUAUGUCAAUGUCCACCGAAACGGAGCAAACAUUCCCCUCGCUCGUCCUAUUCAUACUUAUAUAUAGAUAUAUUUAUUAUUAUUGAUAGAAUAAUCUGUAAUUGAUAUAAUUUGAAUAUUUAUAUGAGUGUAGAUAUUGUAGUAAUGCGUAGAGUAGAAUAUGCGUAGUAAGGCGGAUGUUUGCGCCGUGUCGGCGGGCGUGUCGAUGGUCAAACACCCUUGGUGUUGUUGUCGCUAGAGGGUGGCGACGUAAAGCGCGACGACAAGGACGUGCUACCGCGGCAGAAGUGUUUGGACGCGUUGGCCGCCCUUCGGCACGCCAAGUGGUUCCAGGCUAGGGCGGCCAGUCUGCAGUCCUGCGUCAUCAUCAUCCGCGUGAUGCGAGACCUCUGCCGCCGCGUUCCCAACUGGAUGCCGCUCAACCCAUACGCGAUGGAGCUGCUGGUGUCGGGCGUGAUGCAGUCUGCGGGCGCGGCGCUGUCCCCGG